UACGUAGGUGGCAAGCGUUGUCCGGAUUUACUGGGCGUAAAGGGAGCGUAGGCGGAUUUUUAAGUGAGAUGUGAAAUACCCGGGCUUAACUUGGGUGCUGCAUUUCAAACUGGAAGUCUAGAGUGCAGGAGAGGAGAAGGGAAUUCCUAGUGUAGCGGUGAAAUGCGUAGAUAUUAGGAAGAACACCAGUGGCGAAGGCGCUUCUCUGGACUGUAACUGACGCUGAGGCUCGAAAGCGUGGGGAGCAAACAGGAUUAGAUACCCCGGUAGUCCCU
rnacentral:rRNA from 1 species